GACGAACGCUGGCGGCGUGCUUAACACAUGCAAGUCGAACGGAAAGGCCUGCUUUCCCUUGUGGAUUGCGGGUACUCGAGUGCGAACGGGUGAGUAACACGUGAGUGAUCUGCCCCCAACUUGGGUAUAAGCCUGGGAAACUGGGUCUAAUUCCCGAUAGGACUGCAGGGUGGUGCCUGUGGUGGAAAACGAUUUUCUAGUGGUUGGGGAUGAGCUCGCGGCCUAUCAGCUUGUUGGUGGGGUAAUGGCCUACCAAGGCGGCGACGGGUAGCCGGCCUGAGAGGGUGGACGGCCACAUUGGGACUGAGAUACGGCCCAGACUCCGACGGGAGGCAGCAGUGGGGAAUAUUGCACAAUGGGCGGAAGCCUGAUGCAGCGACGCCGCGUGGGGGAUGACGGCCUUCGGGUUGUAAACUCCUUUCGACCGCGAGGAAGCCACCUGGUUGGAAGGGUGGUGACGGUAGUGGUAGAAGAAGCACCGGCUAACUACGUG
rnacentral:rRNA from 1 species